ACUGACAUGCGGGGCACGAUGUGGGGCCCCCUCCGUGCCUCCCUCUGGGCCUCCGUUUCCCCACCUAUUCCAGGCUUUGUACUGUCUUUAACAGGUUUCUCUGGCUCUGCCCAUUCCCCAGUCUCCUUCUAGUGCGGAUGGCUUGUUGCUUGGGAAUGGGAAUGAAAUUUUCAAAGCUAGAAUUGGCUGGUCCCAGACAAAACUCUAGGUACCCCUUAAAUAUUAAGCUCCAGAAGCCAAAAGAGCUGGAAUGGGGUUUUUCCUUGCUCUGCUCAUCUCGCCUUAGAACAGGGGAGAAUUAGAGAGGGAAGAGAGGAUUAGAAAGAGCACUGAGAAGGGCCCCUGGUUGGCUCAGUUGGUUAAGCGACCGGCUCUUGAUUUCAGCUCAGGUCAUGAUCUCAUGGUUUGUGAGUUCAAGUCCCAACUGCCCGUGCAGAGCCUGCUUGGAGUUUAUAAAGGAGACGCACCAUUUGUCACCCAUAAGACUGAAUUGGGCAUAUAAGGUUUGAAGAACCUCGACGACACCCAAACGGAGAAGCCGAGGAGGGCACCAGAUAUGUGAGCCUAGUGCUCACGGGACAAACUGACCUGAGAUACACAUUGGGGCAUCGUGGGCCUACAAACGGUAUUUGUCUUCGUCUUUGUUGUUUGAUGAAGACUAUUACAUUUACUUCUUUUCUCAAAGUUAGGACGAGUCGUCGUAGCCAUGGAGAGGGCUUCCAGGCUAUCCUUAAUGGUUUCAGAGCCCAACACAUACUGUUACACACUUCCCAACAAGGGAAGGCUUUUGGGGGCAAGGAGUGACGGAGUGGUGAGGGCACUGACAGGAAAGGGAUACAGGGGGGACAGCGUGGCCAGAGUUGUCCAUCUCUAAAAUCCGAUACACGGAGGUUCGUGUUCCAGCUCUAUAAACGGUAUGUAGAGCCGGAAGGCUGGAUGAGAUCACUGGGGAUGUGAGAAUGGGUAAAAAGAUCCCAAGCCUGAGUUCCAGGCCUGCCGCAUUCAGACGGAGGAGGUGAGGAACCAGCCACGGAGCCUGGGAAGGGGAGCCCGGUGAAGCAGGAGGAAAUCCAGAGUGUGGGACCCUGGAAACCAAGUGAUGAAAGUGUUUCGGGGAAGAUGGGUUGAUCACGAAGCCACAUGCUUCUGCUCAGUGAGGAGGAGGAGGAAGGCUGAAUACUGGCCGUCCUCUUUACUGUCAUGGGGUUAUUAUUGGUCACCCUCACAAGAGUAGUUUCCAUGGAGUAUUUGGGCGUGAAAACCUUACUGGAAAGUGUUACGAGAAAAUGGACAGGGGAACAUUUUAGCCACACCACGAGCAAGCAAUGAACCAAAUCUAGGAUGUGGGACAUUUUAUAGGGCAGCUGGCCUGGGUUCUUCAAAGGAGUGAAUGAUAUGGAAAAAAAAAAAGAAGAAGAAGACAGGACCGGGAGGGCGGGGGGUAGGGUAUAGAUUAAAAGAGAUUUAAGAGACGCGGCCACCAAAUAAACAGUAGUCCUUCUUUGGAUGCUCAUUAAAACAAACUAGAAAACUGAAGAAAGUUGAUGGUGGCACUGGUUAUCAAGCCAAAGUUGCUAACAACUUGAGAGAGGGAGACAGAGAGAGAGAGAGGGAGAAUCUCAAGCAGGCUCUACACUCAGCACAAAGCCCAAUGUGGGGCUCAAUCCCACCACCCUGGGAUCAUGACCUGAGCUGAAAUCAAGAGUCAGAUGCUCAACUAAGACACCCAGACCCCCCUCUUUUCAUUAUUUUGGAUGCCUCCUGAGCCUGAUGAAAUGACAGGCCCUUUGGGUUUUGCUUUGGACUCCAGGAAUGAAAGGAGGGCCACGGGGAUUUGCACUCUAUUUUUGUGUGUUUGGAAAUGAGCUUAAUAAAAUGUUGAAGACAGCGAGCGAGGAGGGGAGAAAGUAUAGACACCAACGUUGAGGAGUUAUGCUCUACAGGACCCGAGGCAUCUGUAGAGUCAAGAGGUGUUUGUUUGCUUUUAAGAGGGAGAAGUAAAAGCAUGCUUUUUGGCUGAUGGGAAAUUUUGACAAUGCAGUAGAGAGAGGGCAGAAUGGAAGAAUGUCCUUGGGCAGGAGAGAAGGGCAGGGAGGGUAUCUGGUGCCCAACUGGAAGGGGUAGCUUCAGACACGUGCACGGAGAGGUCAGCCACCACGUGGGCAAGAAAAACAGGGAACACCAAACAGAGGUUCCCUUUUGGUUCCGCAAUUCUCAGUGCAAUAGGAAGCAAGGUCAUCAGCUGGGAACGAGGAUAGGGGAGGAGGCAUUGGGAGUCUGGGGAGAGAGGUUGCCAACGUUGUGGAAGAGAAUAGUACGGGACGGGGAGACAGGCCUGAUGUGGCCACCAGGCGGCAUCGAGGCCCAGGCAGGUGCUGUGAUUCAUUCCACUCGAUGGGAUCCAAACAGCCUUUUUAAAAAAGGAGGCUGAUGAUUUUUUUCAUUCUUUCAGCAAAUAAAGAGAGCGCACCUUUUACAUGUUAGGAACAGAAAGAGAUCCAUUGUAGGGUAAGAGGGGGAAAAAGCAAGUUUCAGAAGAAUCUGUAUUCUAGGAUUGCACUCAUAUUUUAAAAAAUAAGUACUAUCUGUUCAUGCACACAUUGAAAAGUCUGCAUGGAGACGUGCCAAAUAUUCGUAGCGACUACAUACAGGACAUAGGAAGAGGAGGGCUGGAAAUCACACUAAUUUUUAACGGGAAAAGGUACUGCAUACUUAAAAGCAUGAAAGACUAUUUAUACCGAAAUAUAUAAUAAAAAGUCCCCUGGCAUCAUACUGUCAAAUAUUAUCCAGAUGAAUUGACCUCGACAGUAAAAAAAAAAAAAAAAAAAAAAAAAAA